GUUCAGCACCCCCAAUGGCCACCCGACAGGAUCUCACAAAUGCGGGGGUCAUAACACCUUACCUGGAAAGGGAUUCCAACAGGACAAAUAACAUUUAGAAGCUUUUAACUGAGUGCCUGACCCUUGCAGAGAAAAGAGCAUCAUUACAGAGGCAUACAACUAGCAGUUGCUUCUUCAGGAAUGAGGCAGUGAGCACGAUAUGCAUAUGAGACUGUCAGCCAACCUGGGGAGAAACCUAUGUGGGACACCAAAGUGACUGGCAUGCCUGGACAAUGGAGCAGCCAGGGACUACAGCACCCCCACAGGUUCAUCUUCAUUAAGGAAUUCUCGUUUGGGGUAUGGAAUCUGGCAGCCAGCAAACACACUACAAAUCAUUGAAGGAAAAAAAAAAUACAUGUCAUGACCUAAAAUCUAUAAUAUGAUUGACCUUGUGCAUUU